AACUUAAGGAAUUCCACUUUGUGAAAGAUAACAAAUUGCAAUUGGCUAGUUGUGGUAAACAGAGAAAGACUGGAAAAAAAAAAUCACUUCCUUUGGCUAGGUUGGCAAGCCAGAAAGAGUUAGAGCCUUUAAUUUCUAAGACUAAAUCCUGAACGAGUAAAACAAGGAUACAUGCAUUGUUCAGCGCUGGCCCCGUGAGCUGGCCUAUCACCUCACUGUCCUGUGGAGACCUGCAGUACGGUGCUAUGUUGAAAGUACCAGGAAGAAAUACCAUUUGUGUGUUCAGUGUGGGACUCAGCUUGUGUGCAGGAUACAAGGUGUGCUGACAGGUGUGGAAUCAGGACAAGAUCAUUCCUGCUCCUGCCACUGCUUGUUACUGCCAUGUUCAUCAAUCACUGCUUGCCCACUAGUACCGUCAGUCUGGUAACUGUUGAGUCUAUAAAAUACCCAUGGUUCAUGGAGCAGUACACAACUGAGGGUCAGCCUGCUCAGAGGUAUGGAGAUGGCACAAAGGAUGGCAUGAGGAAGAGGCAAAAGCGGCAGGCACUGAAGACCUUUCUGUCAGCACACUGUUGGUAUGGAGAAACCACAGACUCCAUUUUAGCACUGAACAGCAAUGAGAGGAGGUGCUGUGAGUCACCACUAAAGGAUGCUUUUGAAGUGUUUUGAGAUCCUUACAGAUACCUUGUAGAGAAAUGUCCUUGAAGAGCAGAAAUCGCUGUUCUUACCCUACAAGUUUUGCUAGGCAGACAGUAAUAAACACGAACUAU
rnacentral:lncRNA from 7 species